GGAGCGUAAGGGUGGCAAGGCGCCCGAGAGUCAGGGCUGGAGCUGAAGGUGGGUGACAGGGAGGGGGCGCCCAGGUGUCAGGACCUGAGGAGAAAGAGUGCGCGUAGCGGGAGGGCCCCGAAGUGUCGGGGCGGGAUCCUGGAAGGAGGGAGAACGUGAGGAGGGAGGAAGGGUCCCUGGGGUGUCAGGGAUGGGGGCCAGGAAAGGGGCAGAGAGCUGGAGGCCCACAAGUGGGGAUAGCGGGGGAGGGAGGUUGGAGCGAGUGGGGAACGCAGGUGGUGUCGAGGGCGGGGACAGGGCGAGGGGAGCGGGGCGUGAGGAAGUUGUGGGAAACCGCGCUGGACGCUGAGAAUGUGCGGAAGGAUCCUGAGGGGAGGACGCGAGACAGCGCGAGGAGAGACGAGGAGAGUUAGGGUUGGCCGGGAGGGUGCGAAGAUGAAGCGACCACUGGAGGCUGUGAGGGUGAAAGGAGCAAGAAUCGUCUAGAGACGGGCUGGGCCGGUGCUGGGGCCAAAGGCUUCUGUCUGUCAGGCCCUUUUUGGCGCUCACUCUAGAAAGAAGAGGCGGAGACGCGAAGAGAUCGGGUUAGAGUCAGAUUUUCGAAGCACGGAGAUGGGUUCAAUGAAAGGACGAGGAAAGACGAGAAACCAGCGGCCGGAGAACGGAGAGUUCAACAAUUUUUAUGAAUUUCUAAUCCAACCUCAUCAUCCUAUGGGAAACAGAAGACCACCAAGAACAGCCAGCUGAUGGAAUCUCAUUCUGUCACCAGGCUGAAGUGCAGUGACGUGAUCUUGGCUCACUGCAACCUCCACCUCCUGGGUUCAAGCGAUUCUCCUGCCUCAGCCUCCUGAGUAGCUGGGAUUACAGGUAUCUUGGCAGUAACCUCCUCCAUAUAUUUCCUUGGCCCUCAGCUUACAUCUAGCAAAAUGACUCUACUGGUUCCAGGCUUCACAUGCAUACAACAUGGUGUUGGAGGAACAGAGAUGUUUUCUCUUCCUGGUGUUUUCCCAGACAUUUCUUAGCUGGCAUUUCAAACAAGGGUCCUGAAAUUCACCCUGGUUGGGUCGUGUUCUCCCCUUCCCAUUCCCCAUCCCCACCCUCAACCGAAAAAUGAUGUAAGCAGGGGAAAUUGAAUGUACCAAUGUUUGUUUUUAAACAAGCCACAGACCCCUCCCCAACUCCCCGACUGAAGCUUGAAGUGGGAUCAGCUUUCCCUAAAGUACUUGAGCUUAUGGUAAAGCAUAUAUGUUAUCCAAGUUAAAGUCUGGACGCUGUUAGUAAUGGGAAGGCAAGUAAUGAAUGUUAGCUAUGGAGCCAACAGACAGUGUCCACUCCAUUGUCUUUAAGGCCCAACUAAAGAUAACCUCUUUACCAAUGUCGGUUUAUUUAUUCAUUUAUUUAUUCAUUGAGAUGGAGUCUCACUCUCUCACCCAAGCUGGAGUGCAGUGGAAUGAUCUCAGCUGACUGCAAUUUCUGCCUCCCAGGUUCAAGCAAUCUCCUGCUUCAGCCUCCCAAGUAGCUGGGAUUACAGGCGCACACCACCAUGCCCGGCUAAUUUUUGUAUUUUUAGUAGAGAUAGGGUUUCACCAUGUUGGCCAAGCUGGUCUCGGACACCUGACCUCAAGUGAUCUGCCUGCCUCGGCCCCCAAAGGUGUGAGCCACUGCACCUGGCUACAAUGUCAGUUUCUAUAAAAACUGCCUUGACUUGUUUUGUUUGCUUGUUUUGUUUGUUUGUGUUUUAAUUUUUAUUAUUUUUUUUUAGAGACAGGGUCUCAAUCUGUUGUCUAGGCUUGAGUGCAGUGGUGCAAUCAUAGCUCACUGAAGUGUUGGACUCCCAGGCUCAAGCAGUCCUCCCACCUCAGCCUCCCAAGUAGCUGAGACUACAGGCAUGCACCACCCUGUCUGGCUAAUUUUUUAUUUUUAGUAGAGAUGAGGUCUCACUAUGUUGCCCAAGGUGGCCUCAAACUCCUGGCCUCAAGUACUCCUGUGGCCUUAGCCUCCCAAAGCUCUGGGAUUGCAGGUAUGAGCCGCCAUGCCUGGCCUACUGUAUAUUUUAUGCAUUUGAUAUAAGUCUUGCCUCCCUAAGUAUAUUACAAGUCCCUUGAAGUUAAAGACAUUAGAUUCCUACUCAGUGCUGAGCUGCAACAGAGAGCACUCAAUGAUGGAUAAAAUAGUUUUAGCAUGCAUUCAGCGAUAUAUAUUUAGAAAGUGGAACUAGGUGGUUGAAAAAAGUGUAUAGAUGGGUGGAAGGGAAUAUUACAGCUCUUAGAAUUGUCCUAAGGUGAGAGUAACAAAUUAAGCAAUGAGUCCCUGGGUUCACUCAAGCAACUUCACUCUCUAAAACAAGAGCCCACAGAAUCCCAUUUCUGCUUUCAGAAUGAGUUUGAGGCCAAUAUUAUUUCCAUUUUUUUUCUUUUUCUUUCUUUCUUUUUUUUUUUUUUUUUUUUGAGACGGAGUUUCACUCUUGUUGCCCAGGCUGUUUUGAUCUCGGCUCACUGCAACCUCUGCCCCUGGGUUCAAGCGAUUCUCCUGUCUCAACCUCCCAAGCUGGGAUUACAAGCAUGCGCUACCACACCUGGCUAAUUUUGUAUUUUUAAUAGAGACGGGGUUUCUCUGUGUUGGUCAGGCUGGUCUCAAACUCCCAACCUCAGGUGAUCUGCCCACCUUGGCCCAGCCUCCAAUAUGAUUUUCUAAUAGCUGUGUUUGAUGAUUAUAUUUAUUCCUCCAUCAGUAGCUUUUUUAGCCUUGAAAAUAUCUAUUUAAGUUUCUUAUUUCCUUUGGAUCUAUCAAAGUGUUUUUCCCCAAGUGGCACCUGGGAAAACAUAUUCUAUUCAUUUAUUUUAUAACUGUUCCCUUGACCUCUUUAUUGCUUCCCUAUUACAACCCAAGAUGCUCUUGUAAACCUGACUUAAUAUUGGCAGUCUUCAUCCCUUGCAAAUGGAAGUGAUGACAGACCCAAUACUUUGUGUAAAAAUAUUUUGCUAUUUCUAUACAAAAUAUUUUAUUAAUGGAAACCACAUGUUAUGUAUUUUACAUAUGUUAUGACUUGAAAUUUAUGUUAUGACUUGAAAUUGGGGAAUCUGAUAUGUCUCUAAUAAUAAAGGCUUCACAGUA
rnacentral:lncRNA from 1 species